rnacentral:rRNA from 1 species
GUUUGAUCCUGGCUCAGGAUGAACGCUAGCGGCAGGCUUAACACAUGCAAGUCGAGGGGCAGCAUAAUGGAUAGCAAUAUCUAUGGUGGCGACCGGCGCACGGGUGCGUAACGCGUAUGCAACCUACCUUUAACAGGGGGAUAACACUGAGAAAUUGGUACUAAUACCCCAUAAUAUCAUAGAAGGCAUCUUUUAUGGUUGAAAAUUCCGAUGGUUAGAGAUGGGCAUGCGUUGUAUUAGCUAGUUGGUGAGGUAACGGCUCACCAAGGCUACGAUACAUAGGGGGACUGAGAGGUUUUCCCCCCACACUGGUACUGAGACACGGACCAGACUCCUACGGGAGGCAGCAGUGAGGAAUAUUGGUCAAUGGACGCAAGUCUGAACCAGCCAUGCCGCGUGCAGGAUGACGGCUCUAUGAGUUGUAAACUGCUUUUGUACGAGGGUAAACGCAGAUACGUGUAUCUGUCUGAAAGUAUCGUACGAAUAAGGAUCGGCUAACUCCGUGCCAGCAGCCGCGGUAAUACGGAGGAUUCAAGCGUUAUCCGGAUUUAUUGGGUUUAAAGGGUGCGUAGGCGGUUUGAUAAGUUAGAGGUGAAAUUUCGGGGCUCAACCCUGAACGUGCCUCUAAUACUGUUGAGCUAGAGAGUAGUUGCGGUAGGCGGAAUGUAUGGUGUAGCGGUGAAAUGCUUAGAGAUCAUACAGAACACCGAUUGCGAAGGCAGCUUACCAAACUAUAUCUGACGUUGAGGCACGAAAGCGUGGGGAGCAAACAGGAUUAGAUACCCUGGUAGUCCACGCAGUAAACGAUGAUAACUCGUUGUCGGCGAUACACAGUCGGUGACUAAGCGAAAGCGAUAAGUUAUCCACCUGGGGAGUACGUUCGCAAGAAUGAAACUCAAAGGAAUUGACGGGGGCCCGCACAAGCGGAGGAACAUGUG